GUGAAGGUGCCAGGUCUGAGGGGAGUGGUCUUCAGGCACCCUGGUUUCUGGAUGAGGAAACCACAGCCCACGGUGCACGACGGCCUGAGUGCCAGGUAGUUAUAGGAGACAGAGCCAGCACUGGAACCCAGCAUGCCCUCCCAGCUCUGGGCCUAGAGCCAAACUUCUUGAGUGCAAAGGGGAGAGAGGGCCUGCAAGACAGUGAGCUGGAAUGACAUGCGCUCCCCAAAGGCUUUCUGUGCCACACCUGGUUGGUGUUCAUGCCUGGGAUGCUCGUGGUGGGGGCAGGAGGGAAGAGGACCUCAGGACCAGGGUGGAAGCCACGCAGAAUGAGUCAACGGGCUCGCAUCAUCACUGACUGUCCCUGGGACAGAUGGUCAACACCACAAUCCAACCAACCUGCCUUCCACGACUGCUCUAGCACCAUGCCCCCCCGGCGUGAGUGAAUUUUGAAAACCAAGGCCACCCUCCUGAGGUUACCUGCCUAAUAAGCUUCACCACACAGCUUUUUGCAGCUAGGAAAAUGGACGCAUUUUCAUCUUCCCCACUCUGCUCAACGGUGCGCCUGGGUGGCUCUAAUCCAUCCCUCUGAAUCCCUAGACAUCACUUUCUUUUACAAAGAAUCAAAAUACAGAAUUCUGACCUGUGUAUGAUGCAGGCUGAGUUAUAGCUUUCCCCUGGCACCUCUAACUGAAAGUGAAAUUCCCUUAGACUUGGGAAAUUCAUUGCACUAUUUUAUGGUAUUGAUUUAUUUUAAACUUGGCUGGCAGUUUUAAGGCCUGCCCUGCCUCUGAAUCCUACAAAUGCUGGAGGAGGUCUCCAUUUGCUUUCAUUUUGUACUACCUCCGAGGACGUGCUAGUGGAAAUGAGCAAAGGGGCUGGAGCUGCUGCUCUACAUUUUCC